rnacentral:tRNA from 1 species
GCGGUGGCUCAGUGGUAGAGCACUUGCCUAGCAUGUGAGGCUCUGGGUUCAAUUCUCAGCAUCACA